UAUUAUGGAUUAGUAAAGAAAGAGGUUUCUUAAGCUGGAAUCUACUCCUAAAGAUGCUAUGAA
rnacentral:pre_miRNA from 1 species